rnacentral:rRNA from 1 species
UUAAGUGACUAAGCGUACAUGGUGGAUGCCUUGGCAGUCAGAGGCGAUGAAGGACGUACUAACCUGCGAUAAGCCGUGAGCAGUCGGUAAGAGACAUUACGACUCACGGAUUUCCGAAUGGGGAAACCCACUUAGCAUAAGCUAGGUAUCGCUGCGUGAAUACAUAGCGUAGCGAGGCGAACCGGGAGAACUGAAACAUCUAAGUACCCCGAGGAAAAGAAAUCAACCGAGAUUCCCUCAGUAGCGGCGAGCGAACGGGGAUUAGCCCUUAAGCAUCUUGGAAGUUAGUGGAACGGUCCUGGAAAGGCCGGCGAUACAGGGUGAUAGCCCCGUACACGAAAACAACCUUGAUGUGAAAUCGAGUAGGGCGGGACACGUGACAUCCUGUCUGAAUAUGGGGGGACCAUCCUCCAAGGCUAAAUACUCCUGACUGACCGAUAGUGAACCAGUACCGUGAGGGAAAGGCGAAAAGAACCCCUGUGAGGGGAGUGAAAUAGAACCUGAAACCGUGUACGUACAAGCAGUGGGAGCCCUUCGGGGUGACUGCGUACCUUUUGUAUAAUGGGUCAGCGACUUACAUUUUGUAGCGAGGUUAACCGUAUAGGGGAGCCGUAGGGAAACCGAGUCUUAACUGGGCGUCUAGUUGCAAGGUGUAGACCCGAAACCGGGUGAUCUAGCCAUGGGCAGGUUGAAGGUUGAGUAACAUCAACUGGAGGACCGAACCCACUAACGUUGCAAAGUUAGGGGAUGACCUGUGGCUGGGGGUGAAAGGCCAAUCAAACUCGGAGAUAGCUGGUUCUCCCCGAAAGCUAUUUAGGUAGCGCCUCGGACGAAUACUACUGGGGGUAGAGCACUGUUUGGGCUAGGGGGUCAUCCCGACUUACCAACCCCAUGCAAACUCCGAAUACCAGUAAGUAAUAUCCGGGAGACACACGGCGGGUGCUAACGUCCGUCGUGAAGAGGGAAACAACCCAGACCGCCGGCUAAGGUCCCAAAGUUCUGGUUAAGUGGGAAACGAUGUGGGAAGGCUCAGACAGCUAGGAUGUUGGCUUAGAAGCAGCCAUCAUUUAAAGAAAGCGUAAUAGCUCACUAGUCGAGUCGGCCUGCGCGGAAGAUGUAACGGGGCUCAAACCAGGCACCGAAGCCGCGGAUUCACACUAAGUGUGAGUGGUAGGGGAGCGUUCUGUAAGUCUGCGAAGGUGUGUCGAGAGGCAUGCUGGAGAUAUCAGAAGUGCGAAUGCUGACGUAAGUAACGAUAAAGGGGGUGAAAAGCCUCCUCGCCGGAAGACCAAGGGUUCCUGUCCAACGUUAAUCGGGGCAGGGUGAGUCGACCCCUAAGGCGAGGCCGAAAGGCGUAGUCGAUGGGAAGCAGGUUAAUAUUCCUGCACGACUUGUAAUUGCGAUGGGGGGACGGAGAAGGCUAGGUGGGCCAGGCGACGGUUGUCCUGGUGAAAGUGCGUAGGUGGUGUUUCUAGGCAAAUCCGGAGACACAACACUGAGACACGAGACGAACACACUACGGUGUGGAAGCCAUUGAUGCCCUGCUUCCAGGAAAAGCCUCUAAGCUUCAGAUUACAAGUCAUCGUACCCCAAACCGACACAGGUGGUCGGGUAGAGAAUACCAAGGCGCUUGAGAGAACUCGGGUGAAGGAACUAGGCAAAAUAGAACCGUAACUUCGGGAGAAGGUUCGCUCUUGACAGUGAAGUCCCUUGCGGAUGGAGCAGUUGGGAGUCGCAGUGACCAGAUGGCUGGGACUGUUUAUCAAAAACACAGCACUCUGCAAACACGAAAGUGGACGUAUAGGGUGUGACACCUGCCCGGUGCCGGAAGGUUAAUUGAUGGGGUUAGCGCAAGCGAAGCUCUUGAUCGAAGCCCCGGUAAACGGCGGCCGUAACUAUAACGGUCCUAAGGUAGCGAAAUUCCUUGUCGGGUAAGUUCCGACCUGCACGAAUGGUGUAACCAUGGCCAUGCUGUCUCCACCCGAGACUCAGUGAAAUCGAAUUCGCCGUGAAGAUGCGGUGUACCCGCGGCUAGACGGAAAGACCCCGUGAACCUUUACUACAGCUUGGCACUGAACAUUGAACCUACAUGUGUAGGAUAGGUGGGAGGCUUUGAAGGCGUGACGCCAGUUGCGCUGGAGCCGUCCUUGAAAUACCACCCUUGUAUGUUUGAUGUUCUAACGCAGGCCCCUGAAUCGGGGUCGCGGACAGUGCCUGGUGGGUAGUUUGACUGGGGCGGUCUCCUCCCAAAGAGUAACGGAGGAGCACGAAGGUUGGCUAAUCCUGGUCGGACAUCAGGAGGUUAGUGCAAUGGCAUAAGCCAGCUUAACUGCGAGACGGACAGGUCGAGCAGGUACGAAAGUAGGUCAUAGUGAUCCGGUGGUUCUGAAUGGAAGGGCCAUCGCUCAACGGAUAAAAGGUACUCCGGGGAUAACAGGCUGAUACCGCCCAAGAGUUCAUAUCGACGGCGGUGUUUGGCACCUCGAUGUCGGCUCAUCACAUCCUGGGGCUGAAGUCGGUCCCAAGGGUAUGGCUGUUCGCCAUUUAAAGUGGUACGCGAGCUGGGUUCAGAACGUCGUGAGACAGUUCGGUCCCUAUCUGCCGUGGGCGUUGGAUGAUUGAAGGGAGUUGCUCCUAGUACGAGAGGACCGGAGUGAACGAACCUCUGGUGUUCGGGUUGUCACGCCAGUGGCACUGCCCGGUAGCUAAGUUCGGAAUCGAUAACCGCUGAAAGCAUCUAAGCGGGAAGCGAGCCCUGAGAUGAGUCAUCCCUGACCCCUUGAGGGUCCUAAAGGGCCGUUGGAGACCACAACGUUGAUAGGUGGGGUGUGUAAGCGCGGCGACGUGUUGAGCUAACCCAUACUAAUUACCCGUGAGGCUUAACCA